rnacentral:misc_RNA from 1 species
GAUGAAGAACGUAGCGAAAUGCGAUAAGUAAUGUGAAUUGCAGAAUUCAGUGAAUCAUCGAAUCUUUGAACGCACAUUGCGCCCGCCAGUAUUCUGGCGGGCAUGCCUGUUCGAGCGUCAUUUCAACCAUCAAGCCCUGCUUGCGUUGGGGUCCUGCGGCUGCCCGCAGGCCCUGAAAACCAGUGGCGGGCUCGCUAGUCACACCGAGCGCAGUAAUACAUCUCGCUUUGGGCGUGCGGCGGGUUCUUGCCGUUAAACACCCCCUUUUUGCCAAGGUUGACCUCGGAUCAGGUAGGAAUACCCGCUGAACUUAAGCAUAUCAAUAAGCGGAGGA